rnacentral:rRNA from 1 species
GAUGAACGCUGGCGGCGUGCCUAAUACAUGCAAGUCGAGCGAACAGACGAGGAGCUUGCUCCUCUGACGUUAGCGGCGGACGGGUGAGUAACACGUGGAUAACCUACCUAUAAGACUGGGAUAACUUCGGGAAACCGGAGCUAAUACCGGAUAAUAUAUUGAACCGCAUGGUUCAAUAGUGAAAGACGGUUUUGCUGUCACUUAUAGACGUAUCCGCGCCGCAUUAGCUAGUUGGUAAGGUAACGGCUUACCAAGGCAACGAUGCGUAGCCGACCUGAGAGGGUGAUCGGCCACACUGGAACUGAGACACGGUCCAGACUCCUACGGGAGGCAGCAGUAGGGAAUCUUCCGCAAUGGGCGAAAGCCUGACGGAGCAACGCCGCGUGAGUGAUGAAGGUCUUCGGAUCGUAAAACUCUGUUAUUAGGGAAGAACAAAUGUGUAAGUAACUAUGCACGUCUUGACGGUACCUAAUCAGAAAGCCACGGCUAACUACGUG